AUGAUGGAAGGUUUUCAUGAAAUGGUGGACUUUUGCCAGUUUUCAGAUUUGGGGUAUGUUGGACUUCCUUACACAUGGGAUAACCAUCAACAGGGCAUUAGAAGCAUAAAAGUCAGGCUAGACCGGGCACUAGGGGAUGAUAAGUUCAUGGACCACUUUGACAAUACCAUGGUUCGUCACCUUCAGACUACAGAGUCGGACCAUUGUGCACUACUUGUGAGCAUUAGGCAGCCAAGUUGGCUCAAUGAUGGAGAUGGGCAUCGAACUUUUCAUUUUGAGAAUGCUUGGACGAGGCAUGAGAACUAUAAAGAAGUUGUCGAGAAAGCUUGGGUGCACUACCAUGGUGACCUGGGGAGCAUGAGUGAAGCUUUAGGUAUUGUGAGAUCCAGGUUGCAGGUGUGGAGCAAAAGUGAGUUUGGCUUUGUCCGUAAAAAGUUAAAAACUAUGGGAGAUUGA
rnacentral:rRNA from 1 species